rnacentral:hammerhead_ribozyme from 1 species
GUACUGUUGAAGAGUCCCAAACCAGGACAAAACAGCUGUCCAGUAC